UAGGGAAUCUUCCACAAUGGACGAAAGUCUGAUGGAGCAACGCCGCGUGAGUGAAGAAGGGUUUCGGCUCGUAAAACUCUGUUGUUAAAGAAGAACAUAUCUGAGAGUAACUGUUCAGGUAUUGACGGUAUUUAACCAGAAAGCCACGGCUACUACGUGCCAA
rnacentral:rRNA from 1 species